rnacentral:rRNA from 1 species
AUGGACCUCCUCAUCAAGCAUCCGCCCGUCCCAUCCUCCCUCCCUCGCGCAGCAGCCAAACCCUCCCUCCCUCCCCUUCGCCGCCGACGAUGGCCGCCGCGGCGAAGAAGACGGCCGAGGAGAUCCACCGCGAGCUCCAAGAGCUGCAGCGCCAGCACCGCGAGCGAGCACCUACGUGACCCCCAAGGCCUCCGACGCGGCGUCCCCGCCACCGGCCCCGGCCCCGGCCCCGGAGGCCCCCGCCCGCUCCGCGGCUUUGCCAGACCCGCCCCGGAGCCGGUGGACCAGCCCGAGCCCAAGCGCCGGCUUCUUUCUGCCGUGGUUAAAGUGGAUGGCCCUGGAACUAAUGGGGAUGAUGCGGCGGCGGAGGGGCGUGAGGAUGGACCAAAUGCUGCUCAAGGUGGUGAGAGGAGGGAAGCCAGUAAUGGUGGGUUCAGGAGGGAUGGGAGCCAGUGGGUAUCCAGGAGGGAGCUUGAUAAUCAGCUGCCAGAGCCUCUCCCGAGGCCGGCUCCCAAGGAAGAGGAUCAGAGCUUGGUGAGGAGGAACAAGAGAAUGCUGGGGAAGCUUCUUGUUGGCACGCUAGAGGUGAACGUUCCGAAGACCAAGAAGACCUACUGCAAGAACAAGGAGUGCAAGAAGCACACCCUCCACAAGGUUACCUAG